rnacentral:tRNA from 1 species
AAACUUAGGAUUAAUUAAACCGAAG